GACGAACGCUGGCGGCGUGCUUAACACAUGCAAGUCGAGCGGUAAGGCCCUUUCGGGGGUACGACGAGCGGCGAACGGGUGAGUAACACGUGGGUGACCUGCCCUCAGCUCUGGGAUAAGCCUGGGAAACCGGGUCUAAUACUGGAUAUGACUCCAUGACGCAUGUUGUGGGGUGGAAAGCCUUGUGCGGCUGAGGAUGGGCCCGCGGCCUAUCAGCUUGUUGGUGGGGUGAGGCCUACCAAGGCGACGACGGGUAGCCGGCCUGAGAGGGCGACCGGCCACACUGGGACUGAGACACGGCCCAGACUCCUACGGGAGGCAGCAGUGGGGAAUCUUGCGCAAUGGGCGAAAGCCUGACGCAGCGACG
rnacentral:rRNA from 1 species